GCUUGCUUACCAAAAGAAAAAGAGUGGGAACUGUGUCAAAUGGUUGUCAGCAUGAAGCCAGCAACCAGUUUGUUGUCUUUCUAGGUGUGCAAAAAAACAAAAUUAUGAUAAACCUAGGGGUAGUAUCCACUAUAGAGUCUAAAAUUUUCUUCUUAUCAAGUCCUAACAUAAAAAAUCCUUCAACAGAGUGCACACCCGAGUUCGAAAGACUUCGAACCUUAGCAGCAUACUUUAGUGACUUAGUCACCUUGAACAUUUUCAGAUUAUAACAUAGGAAAAUGU
rnacentral:lncRNA from 1 species